GCUGGGUGUGGUGAUGCAUGCCUAUAAUCCCAGCAGCUUGGGAGGCUGAGGUAGGAGGAUUGCGAGUUCAAAGCUAGCUUCAGCAAUAUAGUAAGGCCCUAAGCAAUUCAGUAAGGCCCUGUCUCUA
rnacentral:sRNA from 1 species